rnacentral:rRNA from 1 species
GAUGAACGCUGGCGGCGUGCCUAAUACAUGCAAGUCGAGCGAACGGACGAGAAGCUUGCUUCUCUGAUGUUAGCGGCGGACGGGUGAGUAACACGUGGAUAACCUACCUAUAAGACUGGGAUAACUUCGGGAAACCGGAGCUAAUACCGGAUAAUAUUUUGAACCGCAUGGUUCAAAAGUGAAAGACGGUCUUGCUGUCACUUAUAGAUGGAUCCGCGCUGCAUUAGCUAGUUGGUAAGGUAACGGCUUACCAAGGCAACGAUGCAUAGCCGACCUGAGAGGGUGAUCGGCUACACUGGAACGGAGACACGGUACAGACUCCGACGGGAGGCAGCAGUAGGGAAUCUUGCGCAAUGGGCGAAAGCCUGACGGAGCAACGCCGCGUGAGUGAUGAAGGUCUUCGGAUCGUAAAACUCUGUUAUUAGGGAAGAACAUAUGUGUAAGUAACUGUGCACAUCUUGACGGUACCUAAUCAGAAAGCCACGGCUAACUACGUG